AAAAGGUCAUCUCCUCUGUUCUUCUCCUCCCUCAUCACGUGUCUGCUGCCCUCUGUCCCUGCCCUGCACCCCAGAAACAGCGGGCUGCUCCUUGUUACUGUCCUGGCCCACUGCAGCGCUGGUCAGCCUCUCCAGCUUCCUCAUGCAUCCAGCCGCUCGCAGGGGGUGGUGGGGAGACCCAAUGGCAGAGGCGGAGAGGAGGGCAAUUCUGGAAGCCGUCAGGGCAGAUCUGGGGGCGUCUGGAGGAGUCUAGACUUGAGCCUCAGCUCCCACCCCCGCUGCUUGAGAGCUUUCAUCCAGCCUUCCAUCCAUUGAGGAGUAUUUUCCGAGCUCCUACUGUCUGCCAAGCGCAUCCACUCCCACACCUCCCCGCAAGUUCUGGAGCCAGAACGGGACCUCCAGAGCAAGCACUGUGGGACGGGUGUCCAGAAGAACCCACUUUGGCCAUCACCAACCUCUGCUGCCUGCAGGCUGCCUGGGUCUCAGCCCCAGUACCCAUCCUCACAGCUGCAAAUAAAGGCUCAAUCUUUCAUCGAAGCUUUCCUGCAAUUGUCCUUCUGUCAUCACAGCCCCUGACGCAGAAACCAACCAAGGAGCUGUGGAAACACAGAGGCAGAAAGGUGAGGUCAUCCCGUCGAGCACCCAGUCUCAGGGCCAGAACACGUUCCAUACCCCAGCUGAGUCUCAGAAAGAGAGAGUCCACCCUCCCACAACCUUCUUUGGUUCACUUCUCCCCAGGGUUUGCCCAUAUUCCUCCAGGGAAGUCCUUCCUGGAGGCUAACUUAAGUGCCUCCUGCUGUCACUUUAACUUCUCAAGGGGAUGAAACCCAGAAGAUAGGCUUCUUUUCCCAAGGGGCUCAGGGACUGGGGUGGGGAGUGCUGCAGGUGCAUAAGCGGGAAAACUUUCUCCACCUCUCUCAGCUUUCUUUUCUCUCUUCUCUACACCUCCUUCUCUCCCCUUCCCUCCUCUCUCUUUAGUCUCCCACUCAACUCUCAGCAGCUGGCUGGGAGCCAGCAUUGUUCCUGCCUGGCUCCCCUCUCCCCCACUCCCUCUCUCUGUGCUCCCCCCUCCAGCCAGCCCAGUCCCUGGCAUGCAAUAGCCCCGGCUGGGGGGCAGGGCAGCAUGCAAGACCUUUCCUGCCCCAUCUUCUGCCUCCUCCUCACUCUGCCUUUCCAGUCCCCAUUGAUGGCCCCCACCCAGCAUAAGAGGCUGAGGAGCUUGGGUUACCCAGGCCCCUGGUUAUUUUUAAUGCCACCAGCUCAGGAGAUAAAUAUACCUCCCCCUCCCCCCAGCUGUCCUGGGCAGAGUAACACAUCCCUUCCCAAUUCACUCCCUCUCCUACUGUUCAUCCACUCACCUCAGAGUUGACUCACCCGAACGUCUUCUGCUCACAUUCUCUCCUAGUGGAUCCCUCUAGACCCUGGACUCCCUGCAGCAAGCCAGCUUGACCCCCAAUCUCAGAAAAGGGAUGGGAGGAGAGCCUCAGUGUCUUGGCUCCACCUAGUGGCUUCUCAAGACACCAUGCCUAGCCAAGGGGUUCGGGAGCCUAGCCUUGAUGCCACCCGGCUGGGGCAGGACUUCAGAACACUGCCGAGAGGAGAUGCUGCACAGAAGUUGCUUCUGCUGGUUGCUGAGCCUCCAGGUUGAGUCUGGGCCCUGAGACCCCUCUCCCACUUGGCCAGGCGAGGGGUUGGUGGUCUAGAGCCCACUGCCUCUUCCUCUCUGUGAUUCCACACCAUUCUGUUAGAUCCCACAAUCCAAGGAGGUUCUUGGAAUUCAUUUCCAGGCCUCUGGAAAUAGUUAAGGGCAGGAACUGCAGCUCUCCAGAGAGGACAGAAGGGGAGCCCGGAGAUCAAGAUGGACUGUUGUUCAUUCCCGGCUUGUUAGAGUUCCUGGGAUUCAAGAAGCCAGCAGGCCUCCAGAACAGAUCUCAAAAUGAAUCCCCCAAGAGUGGUUAUCUGGUCUGUGCUUGAACACCCAGGAACAGGGUACUCACUCCCUCUGGUGGCAGCUUGUUCCAGAACAGAGACAAGUAUUGUGACUGGCUCCUUUGGGCUGAGAUUGGUGCCUGUAGCUUCCACCCUUCAGACCUGGUUCUGCCUCCUGGAACCAUAUAAGAAAAGUCUGAACUCUUUUACCCAAGAGCCUUUUAGACACUUAAGAUGGCCCCACUCUAGGUUUUAUUUAUUUUGAAAUAGUUCAUGUACUCGAUCAAUAAUCACAUUCCAGAUGGUGGUGUGCCUCUCAAGCCCCCACAGCUCCCAAGCAUCAAUUCCCUGCUGGCUUCUCUCUCUCUUUUCAUUAUUAUUAUUAUUAUUAUUAUUAUUAUUAUCAUCAUCAUCAUCAUUAUUAUUAUUAUUAUUAUUAUUAUUAUUAUUAUUAUUGUGAUGGAGUCUCGUUCUGUGGUCCAGACUGGAGUGCAGUGGCACGAUCUCGGCUUACUGCAACAUCUGCCUCCUGGGUUCACAUGAUUCUCCUGCCUCAGCCUCCCAAGUAACUGGAACUACAGGCAAAGGCGCCUGCCAUCACGCCCAGCUAAUUUUUGUAUUUUUUGUAGAAAUGGGGUUUCACCAUGUUGGCCAGGCUGGUCUUGAACUCCUGACCUCAAGUGAUCUGAUCGCUUUGGCCUCCCAAAGUGAUGGGAUUACAGGUGUGAGCCACCACACCUGGCCCCUGCUGGCAUCUCUUUCUUCCUCCCAAGUCAGAGCCACUGUCCUCUCCAUUCUCUUUAUUGUUAUUUUGCCUUUUGAAAAUAUUUUUGCAUGUUGGGCAUGGUGGCUCAUACCUGUAAUCCCAGCACUGUAGGAGACUGAGGAGAGAAGAUCACUUGAGUCCAGGAAUUUGAGACCAGCCUGGGUAACAUAGUGGCAAGACCUAUCUCUAUUUUUAAAAACAUUUUAAGCUGGGUGUGGUGUCUCAUGCCUGUAAUCCCAGCACUUUGGGAGGCUGAGGCAGGCGGAUCACCUGAGGUCCGGAGUUUAAGACCAGCCUGACCAACAUGGUGAAACCCCGUCUCUACUAAAAAUACAAAAAUUAGUUGGGCAUGGUGGUACACGCCUGUAAUCCCAGCUACUUGGGAGGCUGAGGUAGGAGAAUCACUUGAACCUGGGAGGUGGAGGUUGCAGUGAGCCAAGAUUGCGCCAUUGCAUUCCAGUCUGGGCAACAAGAGUGAAACUCCAUCUCAAGAACAAAGAAACAAAAAACAUUUUAAGGCCAGGCAUGAUGGCUCACGCCUGUAAUUCCAGCACUUUGAGAGGCCGAGGCGGGUGGAUCACCUGAGGUCAGGAGUUCGAGAUCAGCCUAGCCAAUAUGGUGAAACCCUGUCUCUACCAAAAAAUACAAAAAUUAGCUGGGCAUGGUGGCAGGGGCCUGUAUUGUCAGCUACUUAGAAGGCUGAGGCAGGAGAAUCACUGGAACCCAGGUGGUGGAGGUUGUAGUGAGCCAAGAUCGUGCCAUUGUACUCCAGCCUGGGCAACAGAACGAGACUCCAUCUCAAAAAAAAAAAAUUAGAAAUAAUUUUAAAAAUAAAAAAUAAUUUAAAAAAAUAUUUUGCCGCCAGGUGUGCUGGCUCACGCCUGUAAUCCCAGCACUUUGGGAGACCAAGGUGGGCAGGUUAUUUGACCCCAGGAGUUCUAGACAAACCUGGGCAAUAUAGUGAGACCCCAUCUCUAAAAAAAUACAAAAAUUAGCUGGGUGUGGUGGUGUGCCCCUGUAGUCCCUGCUACUCGGCAGGUGCUGAGGUGGGAGGAUCAUUUGAGCCCAGGAAGGCAAGGCUGCUGUGAUCUUGCCACUGCAUUACAGCCUGAGAGACAAAGCAAGACCGUGUCUAAAAAAUAUAUAUAUAUAUAGACUACAUAUGUAAGUAUCUAUAAAUAACAUAUUGUUUGGUUUGGCAGGGUUUUAGACGUUUAAAUAA
rnacentral:lncRNA from 1 species